rnacentral:tRNA from 1 species
GCCGGCCUAGCUCAAUUGGUAGAGCAACUGACUUGUAAUCAGUAGGUUGGGGGUUCAAGUCCUUUGGCCGGCACCA